rnacentral:rRNA from 1 species
CACGGUCCAGACUCCUACGGGAGGCAGCAGUGGGGAAUAUUGCACAAUGGGCGCAAGCCUGAUGCAGCCAUGCCGCGUGUGUGAAGAAGGCCUUCGGGUUGUAAAGCACUUUCAGUCGUGAGGAAGGUAGUGUAGUUAAUAGCUGCAUUAUUUGACGUUAGCGACAGAAGAAGCACCGGCUAACUCCGUGCCAGCAGCCGCGGUAAUACGGAGGGUGCGAGCGUUAAUCGGAAUUACUGGGCGUAAAGCGCAUGCA